GGCCCUAUCGUCUAGCGGUUAGGACAGCGGAUUCUCAUUCCGCUAACCGGGGUUCGAGUCCCCGUAGGGUCA
rnacentral:tRNA from 1 species